CAGCACCCCAAGUGGUCAGGAUGAUUAUUGGGCCUAAAGCAUCCGUAGCCGGCGCUGUAAGUUUUCGGUUAAAUCUGUACGCUCAACGUACAGGCUGCCGGGAAUACUGCAGCGCUAGGGAGUGGGAGAGGUAGACGGUACUCGGUAGGAAGGGGUAAAAUCCUUUGAUCUAUUGAUGACCACCUGUGGCGAAGGCGGUCUACCAGAACACGUCCGACGGUGAGGGAUGAAAGCUGGGGGAGCAAACCGGAUUAGAGACCCGAGUAGUCC
rnacentral:rRNA from 1 species